CCUACGGGAGGCAGCAGUGAGGAAUAUUGGUCAAUGGCCGAGAGGCUGAACCAGCCAAGUAGCGUGAGGGAAGACGGCCCUACGGGUUGUAAACCUCUUUUGUCGGGGAGUAAAGCGAGUCACGUGUGACUUAUUGAGAGUACCUUAAGAAAAAGCAUCGGCUAACUCCGUGCCAGCAGCCGCGGUAAUACGGAGGAUGCGAGCGUUAUCCGGAUUUAUUGGGUUUAAAGGGUGCGUAGGGGGUGGUUUAAGUCAGUGGUAAAAUUUCGGGGCUCAACCGCGUAUUUGCGGUGAAACUGGAUGCCUUGAGUGCAGGUGAAGUAGGCGGAAUUCGUGGUGUAGCGGUGAAAUGCUUAGAUAUCACGCAGAACUCCGAUUGCGAAGGCAGCAUAC
rnacentral:rRNA from 1 species